ensembl:processed_transcript Platr14 pluripotency associated transcript 14
GCCCAGAAUUCUCAGCAUAGUUGAAGAUAACCUUGAACACUGGACUUCCUACCUCUACCUCCCAAGUUUUGGGAUCACAGGUGACACCCACUCUACGGAAUAUAAGUACCAGCUAAAGAGGACACACACUUGAAGAAAAAGGAGACAAUGAGGAAAACACUCCUUCCUGUGUGUGCCCCAGCAAAGCACAAUUCAAUGAAACUGACUUUCUAAAGAAACCAAAAGUUGGGGCUGGAGAGAUGGCUCAGUGGUUAAGAGCACUGACUGCUCUUCAAGAUGUCCUGAGUUCAAUUCCCAGCAACCACAUGGUGGCUCACAACGAUCCAUAAUGAGA